GUUGAUUGUUUGGUUGCAAAUUUUGGGUUUAGCAAUAAAUUGUUUAGAGUAUGAAAUAUUCUUUGGAGAUGUACCUAUUGUUAGAUUAUGUACUAUAUUGACAAUGGGUUCUUUUAAUUAGUUUGGAUUAUUAUUGAGAGGACAUGGAAUAUAUAUAUUAUGAUAGAAUAUUUGAUAAUCUAAAUUAUCAUCUUUGUAUCAAUC
rnacentral:lncRNA from 1 species